AUAUGCUUAAGUUCAGCGGGUAAUCCUACCUGAUUUGAGGUCAAACUUGUUUGUUAUAUUGUAAGGCCGAGCCUAGAAUACCGAGAAAUAUACCAUUAAACUAUUCAACGAGUUGGAUAAACCUAAUACAUUGAAAGUCAUAUAGCACUAUCCAGUACCACUCAUGCCAAUACAUUUCAAGCAAACGCCUAGUUCGACUAAGAGUAUCACUCAAUACCAAACCCGAAGGUUUGAGAGAGAAAUGACGCUCAAACAGGCAUGCCCUCUGGAAUACCAGAGGGCGCAAUGUGCGUUCAAAGAUUCGAUGAUUCACGAAAAUCUGCAAUUCAUAUUACUUAUCGCAUUUCGCUGCGUUCUUCAUCGAUGCGAGAACCAAGAGAUCCGUUGUUGAAAGUUUUGAAGAUUUUUUGAAUUUAAUCAACAAAUUGACAAUUAAAUAAAUAACAAUUCAAUAUAAAUAUUGAAGUUUAGUUCAGUAAACCUCUGGCCCAAACUAUUUCUAGUCCAGACCAAAGCAAAAGUUCUUGUAAUAACAAAAAACACUGUGUGUAAGGUUUUUUCGCCGCGCAAUUAAGCGCUGGCAAAAAGAAUACUGUAAUGAUCCUUCCGCAGG
rnacentral:rRNA from 1 species